rnacentral:rRNA from 1 species
UACGUAGGGUGCAAGCGUUGUCCGGAAUUAUUGGGCGUAAAGAGCUCGUAGGCGGUUUGUCGCGUCUGCCGUGAAAGUCCGGGGCUCAACUCCGGAUCUGCGGUGGGUACGGGCAGACUAGAGUGAUGUAGGGGAGACUGGAAUUCCUGGUGUAGCGGUGAAAUGCGCAGAUAUCAGGAGGAACACCAAUGGCGAAGGCAGCACUCUGGGACGGUACUGACGCUGAGACGCGAAAGCGUGGGGAGCAAACAGG